rnacentral:rRNA from 1 species
AACGAACGCUGGCGGCAGGCCUAACACAUGCAAGUCGAACGCCCGUAGCAAUACGGGAGUGGCAGACGGGUGAGUAACGCGUGGGAACGUGCCCUUCGGUUCGGAAUAACUCAGGGAAACUUGAGCUAAUACCGGAUACGUCCGUAAGGAGAAAGAUUUAUCGCCGAAGGAUCGGCCCGCGUCGGAUUAGCUAGUUGGUGAGGUAACGGCCCACCAAGGCGACGAUCCGUAGCUGGUCUGAGAGGANGAUCAGCCACACUGGGACUGAGACACGGCCCAGACUCCUACGGGAGGCAGCAGUGGGGAAUAUUGGACAAUGGGCGAAAGCCUGAUCCAGCCAUGCCGCGUGAGUGAAGAAGGCCUUAGGGUUGUAAAGCUCUUUCUAGCGGGAAGAUAAU